UCUGGGAGGCCAAGAUGAAG
rnacentral:misc_RNA from 1 species